rnacentral:rRNA from 1 species
AUUGAACGCUGGCGGCAUGCCUUACACAUGCAAGUCGAACGGCAGAACGGGUGCUUGUCCCUGGUGGCGAGGGGCGAACGGGUGAGGAAUACAUCGGAACAUGUCCUGUAGUGGGGGAUAGCCCGGCGAAAGCCGGAUUAAUAGCGCAUACGAUCAACGGAUGAAAGGGGGGGACCCUGGGGCCUCGCGAUAAAGGGAUGGCCGGUGGCUGUUUAGUUAGUGGGUGGGGUAAAGGCCUACCAAGGCGACGAUCAGUAGCUGGUCUGAGAGGAUGAGCAGCCACACUGGGACUGAGACACGGCCCAGACUCCUACGGGAGGCAGCAGUGGGGAAUUUUGGACAAUGGGCGAAAGCCUGAUCCAGCAAUGCCGCGUGUGUGAAGAAGGCCUUCGGGUUGUAAAGCACUUUUGUCCGGAAAGAAAUCCUUUGCCCUAAUACGUUCGUGUGAUGACGGUACCAGAAGAAUAAGCACCGGCUAACUACGUG